GAAAAGAUGACCAGAGAGAGGGUGAAUGGGAACCUCAAAUAUUUCUUUUGAAAUCUUAGACUUCUAUCCCAAAUUCAAACCCCAAAACUGAAGCGAGCGGAAGACGAGAGAUCCACGAGCUAACUGGAUGGCUGGGUGUCUAUGGUAAUGACCGAUGACACAGCGGGACUCUCAAGAAACAUUUGGAAGCAAAACCCAAAGAUCUGGAAAGCAAACUCCAAAGAUCUGAGUCAAAACAGGACUCAAAAUGGUCCUGUCGGAAGUUCCGACCCC
rnacentral:lncRNA from 1 species